AUGUUCUACUGCAGAGCACUGAGAGGAAUUGCUUUUGCCACUGGAGCAGUGGGCGUCUGCCUCACCGUUUGUCUCGCAGCCUUUAUCUGUCGAACCAUCUGUUACCACAGCUCUGAUGACACUGCGGUAAGAAGACCCAGAAGAGGCAAACAGGAAAAGAAGGAUGGGGGAAGAACCUAGCUGGGAUUAGGUGGAGAUGUGAUGUGAAACAAAAUUAUAAAACCAGUAAACGGCCUUAAUGUGCAACUAGAUGGAGGAACUUGGAGCAAUCCAGGUUGCAUUUAAAAGGCUCUUACUGUCAAGGCAAUCUAUUUUAUCUCACACUUGAAUGAUCCCUCCAUCCACACAGGAGAUGUUUCUUCUCCCUUUUCUCUGAACAUAACACUGCCCACAGCUCUAUUUGUGGGCACAUCAAGCAACCAUGCAAACUGCGGAACAGGAUCCAAAUAAACUGCAGCCCUAAUGCUAUGCCA
rnacentral:lncRNA from 1 species